rnacentral:tRNA from 1 species
CCUGGUGGCUCAGAUGGUAAAGAAUCUGCCUGCAAUGCAGGAGAUCCAGGUUCAAUCCCUGGGUCAGGA